rnacentral:rRNA from 1 species
CGCCAGACUCCUACGGGAGGCAGCAGUGAGGAAUAUUGGUCAAUGGCCGGAAGGCUGAACCAGCCAAGCCGCGUGAAGGACGAAGGUGCCAAGCAUUGUAAACUUCUUUUGUCAAGGGACAAAAUCAGGCUCGAGAGCCUGACCGAGGGUACUUGAAGAAAAAGCAUCGGCUAACUCCGUGCCAGCAGCCGCGGUAAUACGGAGGAUGCGAGCGUUAUCCGGAUUUAUUGGGUUUAAAGGGUGCGUGGGCGGUAUUUUAAGUUAGUGGUAAAACGUCGGGGCUUCACCUUGAUUGGCCAUUAAAACUGGAGUACUAGAGUACAGACGAGGUAGGCGGAAUAAGUUAAGUAGCGGUGAAAUGCUUAGAUAUAACUUAGAACCCCGAUAGCGAAGGCAGCUUACCAGACUGUUACUGACGCUGAAGCACGAGAGCGUGGGUAGCGAACAGGAUUAGAUACCCCGGUA